UAUCCGUACUGUUCAUGAGAUGCACCUAACAGUUAACGGCGUUAGUCUGCCGUUAGUAGAGUUUUACUAUUUUGCCCUUAAUUGUGUUAUGGCGUCAUUUACUUACCUUCCCUUUGACAGAAACUCAAAAAAAAAAAAAAAUCUCAUAUUCUUUUCUUUCUCUCCCCUCUCCCCUGUUCUUCUUCAAGUGAAUACUCGAAACCCAGUAAUUCUGGGUAGACCCUCCUGCUCUCUGAUCGCCGGCGGCGUCCGAUCACCGCUCUCUGGUCGCCGGCGGAGGCCGGUCUCUGGUCGCCGGCAGUGAUCCGGUGUUACGCACUCACAUUCGCCCUCUCAGUGUUCCUUCUCAUCACUCCCUCCAUUUCAAUCUACUGUGAUGAGGACGAUUGCUAUUAUCUGCUUGGGGUUUCUCCAAAGUGCGAACACUUCGAAAAUUACGAAAUCUUACUACAAGUUAUCCUUGAAAUACCAUCCUGACAAGAAUCCGGACCCUGAAUCAAAGAAAUUGUUUGUAAAGGUUGCAAAUGCAAACGGUAACUGUGUUGGUUGUUUUUAAUCUGUACUUGAUUUAACUUAAUGUGCUGGAAAUUUAAAGGUAACAUUUUGUUUCGAAUUCGCAAGUCUAGUGAUUGGUGUUAUUAAUUUGUUUAAUAGCUAAGAUUAUUGUGGUUUUACUUGGUUUAAAAUGCCAAUUUGGUACCGUUUUCCACCUUUUGGGCGGAGGAAUUUGGAAAAUGAUGGAAUGUAAUUUGAAUAACCGCAGUCAACCAUCUCCGAUCAGGCCUGAAAAAGCAUCCCCCACUGUAAAAUUUGAAUUUGAGGAACAAAUUGCGAUUAACCAAUCCCCUCAAAUUGUUUCUGAUCCAUCCUUAAUUAGACGGCUAUGCAGUACACAAACUCUUCCCUUCAUAGGUGGAAAGGUGGGCUCUUUUGUCAACAUCAAGCUCUUCCUUGGCAGCCUCAAGCUCUUCCUGUGACAUCAAGCUUCUCGAACAGUUGCAUUAAGUUCAGUUACUACAAAACCAUCAGAUUAGUUUUCCCGUAUAAGAUAAUGAAGUAAAUUCAUGAGUCUAGUUUGCUAGCACUUGGGAAGAGAGUUCGUUCCUCAACGGUGGCUGCUGGAUUUAGAUGUAGUAAUGCGGUGACUAAUGCACUGAUCGAUAUGUAUACCAACAGUAUAAUUCAAUUCAAUCAA